rnacentral:snoRNA from 1 species
UGGACCAAAGAUGAGAGUUUUCAUGAAUCCAGAAUUAUGAUUAAUCUAAUUCUAUGUACUUGAAGUUCAGA